rnacentral:lncRNA from 1 species
UUUUUUCGACUGUUGACCAUUUGUUCAAAGGUGUGGAAGCCGUACACGUUCAUUGUCGUCCGUGGAGCGUGAAAGACAACAAACAACUAUUAAAACCUCGCGAAAGCCGAAAUGUGGACAAAAACGAUACUUCAAGCCUCCGUAUUUAUCAGACUAUAAACAGGUAUUUAUAAAUAUUUCAAAAAUCACAUUACUAUUUUAAAUAUUUCAUUAAAAAAUGUUAGGAAUAAAUGGUAGAAUGUACUCUAUUUUUUAGAAAACAAGCCACGAGUAUUUAUGUGGUUGUAGACGAACCUUUUUAUAACUUUAAAAUAUAAUAAUUUCAUCCCUCAAUUCCAAGGAAUUAAUGGUUGUGCAUAUAUAUGAAUUUGACAAAUAUUUGACAUGAAACUGUGAUGUGCUAGUAUAUUAAAGAGGGAAGUAUUAAAGGUUUUAUAUAUAGAUUUAGCCAAGGUCGGGUUUUGUCAUGCAUUUAAAGCUUGUGGUGAACUGGUGCAGGACAAAGAUCAGCUGAUUUGAGAAAUUAAUGCAUGUUUUGCCCAAGUUUGUAUAUUGCGUGCUCUCUGAUAGUUUGUUGUAUGUAUCUUUAAAAGGCAUGCAUUAACUUGUUUGUCCCAUCCUAAUGAGUAUUGGGUUAAUUGAUUCAAGUGCUGGCAUAUUUUUGGUGUCCCUGAGGUAAGGGUUGUUAAUGCGACAGCUACUGUAGGCCAGUAAGCAAGACCUCACUGUGUGGUUAUUUUUAUAGUGGAAAUUCCUUUCAAAUUGUAUGGACAACCUGACUGGCUCAGUUUUCAGAUCUCACCUGAACAAAGCAAGCUCUCAAUUACACCGGGAAGGCGGGAACACUAACUGGACUGACUUGGUCAAAAUAAAGUCAAAACAACAUCGGUCAUGAAAAUAUUGUCAAAACAAUAGAAUUGUGUCGGCAAAGAAAUAAUAAAUUAUUCUCCCAACCAGGCCAACCUGGCUUCCAUAUUGAUAGCCCCUAUGGCACUAUAAUCUAUUCUGAGCCUCCUCUGCAGGCAUGGGCGUACCGGGCGGGGGGCGCAGCAGCCCCCCAGUUUGUUGGGC